ACGACCUUACUUGAACAGGAUCUGUUCUAUAGGCUCGUACUUCUGCAUCCUUUAUCACUAAGGAGACAGGAACCUAAAUCUGGUGGAAGAAUCUUGACCGUUGGAUCAGAGCGUGAUUAAUGGCUAUGUGAUUCUUUGCGAUCAUAAGGCUGUAGAGGAUCGUUUCCUUCAAGCUUUGGCUGGGAGGGAUGAUCCUUCGGUUGUCUGACAGAUU